rnacentral:rRNA from 1 species
UCUGGGAAGGGAGAUAUCAUACACCCUGUGUUUAUUUACUUUUGUUGCUUUGGCGGGCCGUCCUUUAAGGCGUCGGCCCCGGCUGAUCGCGCCCGCCAGAGGACCCAAACUCUUUUAUCAGUGAUGUCUGAGUACUAUAUAAUAGUUAAAACUUUCAACAACGGAUCUCUUGGUUCUGGCAUCGAUGAAGAACGCAGCGAAAUGCGAUAAGUAAUGUGAAUUGCAGAAUUCAGUGAAUCAUCGAAUCUUUGAACGCACAUUGCGCCCGCUGGUAUUCCGGCGGGCAUGCCUGUUCGAGCGUCAUUAUGACCAAUCAAGCUCUGCUUGGCCUUGGGGCCCGCUGUACCGGCGGCCCUUAAAAUCAGUGGCGGUGCCGUCUGGCUCUAAGCGUAGUAAUACUUCUCGCUACAGGGCCCAGUCGUUCACCCGCCAGAACCCUCAACUUUCUUAGGUUGACCUCGGAUCAGGUAGGGAUACCCGCUGAACUUAAGCAUAUCAAUAAGCGGAGGAAAAGAAACCAACAGGGAUUGCCUCAGUAACGGCGAGUGAAGCGGCAACAGCUCAAAUUUGAAAUCUGCCUCUAGGCCGAAUCGUAAUUUGUAGAAGAUGCUUCGGGUGUGGCACUGGUCUAAGUUCCUUGGAACAGGACGUCAUAGAGGGUGAGAAUCCCGUAUGUGACUGGCUGCCU